rnacentral:rRNA from 1 species
GCUGGCGGCAGGCCUAACACAUGCAAGUCGAGCGGUAACAGAAAGAAAGCUUGCUUUCUUUGCUGACGAGCGGCGGACGGGUGAGUAAUGCCUGGGAAUAUGCCUUAGUGUGGGGGAUAACUAUUGGAAACGAUAGCUAAUACCGCAUAAUGUCUUCGGACCAAAGAGGGGGACCUUCGGGCCUCUCGCGCUAAGAUUAGCCCAGGUGGGAUUAGCUAGUUGGUGAGGUAAAGGCUCACCAAGGCAACGAUCCCUAGCUGGUCUGAGAGGAUGAUCAGCCACACUGGAACUGAGACACGGUCCAGACUCCUACGGGAGGCAGCAGUGGGGAAUAUUGCACAAUGGGGGGAACCCUGAUGCAGCCAUGCCGCGUGUAUGAAGAAGGCCUUCGGGUUGUAAAGUACUUUCAGUCGUGAGGAAGGCAUUGUAGUUAAUAGCUGCAGUGCUUGACGUUAGCGACAGAAGAAGCACCGGCUAACUCCGUG